rnacentral:rRNA from 1 species
AGCAGCCGCGGUAAUUCCAGCUCCAAUAGCGUAUAUUAAAGUUGUUGCAGUUAAAAAGCUCGUAGUUGAAUUUCGGGAUCAUCAGGUUGGUCGUGCCAUCGGUAUGUACUAGCUUUGGUGGUUCCUACCUCUUGAAGAACCGUAAUGUCAUUAACUUGGUGUUGCGGGGAAUCAGGACUGUUACUUUGAAAAAUUAGAGUGUUUAAAGCAGGCAAACGCUCGAAUACAUUAGCAUGGAAUAAUGAAAUAGGACGUUUGAUCUUAUUUUGUUGGUUUCUAGGAUCGACGUAAUGAUUAAUAGGGAUAGUUGGGGGCAUUAGUAUUCAAUUGUCAGAGGUGAAAUUCUUGGAUUUAUUGAAGACUAACUACUGCGAAAGCAUUUGCCAAGGAUGUUUUCAUUAAUCAAGAACGAAAGUUAGGGGAUCGAAGACGAUCAGAUACCGUCGUAGUCUUAACCAUAAACUAUGCCGACUAGGGAUCGGAUGAUGUUAAUUUUUUAAUGACUCAUUCGGCGCCUUAC